AUAAAUCAGCUGGUAGUAGACCAAGAAUGAUAGAAUACAAGACUGUGCCGUCCCUGGGAAUAACUCGGAAAAAGAAGAGGAAAAGUGAGGCAAAAAAGAAAAAUAUGGAUAUGGAGGCAUGGUUAUUAUUCGGGUUUUCACAGCUUUACCGAUUCUUGCCAGUAAUUUACGAUUUUCCUUUAUUUAGGUACCAGUAUUUAGACACAAUCGCACACAACUUCAGCUUCGUAAAAAACUAUUAAAAGCACCUUGUAUUUUAUUGUUUUACCUUGACAUAAGCAAUACAAACAGCUGAUUUGAUUGUGAGGUGGGGAAACGUCAACAAAGUUCUGCAAUAUUUUCAGGGUGAUUAACAAAAUUUUUGUAAAUAUCUGUGAAAGGUGGCAAAAAGAAUAAAAAUAUAAAAAAUGUGAUGAAUAUUUUUCUAAUAUGCUCCUGAAGUUCUUAAUUAUAAUUGGGCUAGUAUUUUUACUAGCAUACUGGAUACUACCUAAGGGAAUUAGUUUGUAUCUAGUAAAAAAGUUUAAGGUGAAAGUGCGAAUAGGCGGCAUUAGCUUACGUUAUUUAGCGCUGCGAAAUGUAGAUGUUAGUAAAAGCGGAUUCACGGUCCAAAUUGAAGAAAUUUGUCUUCGCAGCAGCUUCUUUAACACAGAAGUGACAAAGUUACUCUCAAUCUAUAUACGUGAUAUACGCAUAAACAAAGAUAUACAGAGCAAUGACGUUACCUUGGGAGCACUACGAGAUUCUGAACGACCAAAUGGCAAAUCUCAGGAAGAAGAAAAAGAUGUGCCCGAUUUCCGGCGAGCUAAAGUUCCGCCAAGUAUACUUACUUUUGCACAGUUUAUGGCUAUGCACAUAAACAACAUUUCUGUAGUGCUUAUGAAUAACAAUUUUGACCCGGGUUGGUUUAUUCAUGCUACAGCGAGAGAACUUCAUCUGGAUGGAAGUAUUGUUCACAACGCUAAAACUUUGUUAGUUAAUGCAGCUCUAAAUGAUGCCCAGGCGAAAAUGUUGCGGCAUUGCCCAUCCCGCCGACAGUCAUUGGAGAAUCUAAAUAAGAUACGUCCUUGCUUGGGCGAGAUUAGUUUUGAUAUUGCCUUGGAUGCCACGUUAUUUGCUCAUGGACCUCUAUCUGUAGAUAAACUUUCUUUGGCUAUGAACAAUGCUCGUUCCACAAUACACGGUAGUUUGUACGACUUCUUAAGCGAAGCAAAGCAACGUACAAGGCCACAACAAAAUUUAGAAAGCCACGUUAGAAGUACUGCCAAUUCACUUACGCAGCGUCGAAAGAGUUUUAGUAAUGAGUCUUAUCAGAAGAUUUCGCCCAUAAUACCGAAGAAUUUUAAUUUUGUGAUCAAAGCAGCAACUUUUUCAGCUGUGAAAGAAAAUUCCCAAAAUGACUUUAGUGCAAAAAUACAAUUGUUUAGCAUUACUGGAAAAUUCAAUUCCAAAUCACUAAAUGAGAAUGCACAUCUCCCAACGCUAUUUACCAAAGUCUUACUACAGCACUUGGACAUUGAUACCAAAUAUGAAAAGCUGCUGUUUAUUGAGCAAUUCACCAUUGAUUCAGUAUUGGAAAACGAUAUCCUAAAUCUAUAUGUGAAGCUUAAAACAUUCCAAAUUAUUUACAACCACAGUGAGAUAUAUGAUUGGGUGCAUAACAACUUUUUGUCGCGCCAGCGAACCAGUCCACAGCCCUUGCAUCUAAAUCAUAAACAACUUUCGUUGCCGGAACACUUAGGUGCAAACACUUUUUAUACUGCACCUAAUGACGCGUUGGAUCCACACUUAAUAACACCCAAGCAGUCGAAUAGUGGGUUACUGGAAGGCAUAUUAAAGCGCAUUGUUGUUAAAGGUUGUGCCGAAUUUUGGAAUGUAUCGAUUCUAAUGAAGUUGGACGAUGAAAAUGCUGCGAUGAGCGUGAGUCAUACAAGAUUCCUACUGGAGCAAAUCGAAGAGAAGCGCAGCUCUCUUUAUGGCAAUAGACUUUUGAAUUUAAUUUUGAAUCAGCGUCAUUGGAGUACCGAGCUUAUGAUUGAGUCUCUCUGGUGGUCACUGGGAAAUUCUAUUAAUGACACCAAUAAUUUGAAGAAAUCACAUUCUCCAGGAUCUCCAUUCUUUUUGGGGCUCAGUCUAGUUAAACUCAGUUCGUACGCAAGUGUCACAAAACUGGAGGUGUCAAUUCACACAUUACGGACCGAAUAUAGCAUGAGUCUGGCUGAGUUUAUUGUGAAAUCAGUUAACUGCAUAAAACAAUAUGGAGGUCUAAACUCUACUGGAAGUAGCAUGGAAAAUCGACCGUUGCGCGUGCAAAUACCCGGCACGACAUCAAUAUCCAGUGAGUUACUCAUCUCUGCGCGCAUCAAAGAUAUUACCGCCUAUUUUAUAAAUCACCACCAAGCCUGCUUGCUGUUGAGCUUCUCAGAUAUAUCACUUUCGCGUAAGCAGCAAGUGUCUAGUUUCAAAUUUGAGGAAUUCCAAAUGGCUAUUAUGCGUUCGAUGAAUUCAUCAUCACUUUGUCUCAAUGAUUUUACCGACAUAUUCGCUAGUUGUAAAACCAUUCGCAUUGAGCAUGAAAAAAAUGAAAACAAAGUUUCGGUAUACAUUCCUAGUAAUACAGAAGCCAUGUGGAACUCUAAUUUGCACAUGCACAUAUUGACCUUAGCCAGAGAUAUGAGAGAUUUAUAUACAGAACUGGCCUUACCGCAACGCAAUCUUGACGUAAAAUCGGAGUACGACAAAAGGCAAUGGAUUAUUGAACUAUCCGCUGAGUUGAGUACAGCUUUUGAAAUAAAGCUUUCUGAACGGCAUACAGUGCAGUGGUUUGUAGAAAAUUUGUUCUUCAGUCACAAAGAGGGAAACUUCAUAUCAGCAGAAAAUAUUUUCAUCAAAAUAGAUGAUCAACAUAUAUUUACGCUCAAAGAUAUAGAUGUACAGUCACUACCACGAUUAGAUAUGUUGACACAGGAACGUGUAAAUUACGAGACCUUUGUGUUGCCCACAAACAAAGUGUGGGUUACCACAAUCGGUGCUUUUAAGGCAAUUUUUCCCUAUGACCAUGAUUUCUAUGACGCUGUACAAAACGAGUUUGUGACGCAUUUUAAAUGGUUGAAAUUGGUACACAACUAUAAGAAAAAACCAUUUACAGCUAGCUCGCCGUUGCCAAGUGAUAUGGUUAUACAAAUAAAAGAGUUUUUGUUGGAAAUCAGCGAUGAUCCAUUUGAAGUCAAGUUACGUGACAAUUACGUCCUGCUUGUGGAUGAAUAUCUAGAGGGUAUAAAACGUAAAGCCAUUUUCGAUAAGAAAAUCGCGGAACGUUGUCUUGUACCAGCCAGCACAAUUGAAAGCCUUUAUGCAAGUCUUGUGCAAAAAAAUUCCGAAAUAUACAUUCAACGCUCGAAAAAGAUUAGGGAAAGUGGUCCUGUGCGUACCCGGUUGCUGGCAUGGAUUAUGACCGAUGUAGAAAUAAUGGCAAUGGCAGAUCCAUCGGUGCAUGGUACUGAGAAUGUAACCCGAAUAAUGCGCGACAUAGACUGUGAGAGUCCAUGGCCAGAAGAAAAUUUGGAAUUCACCACCCUUUGGUGUCGUAGCGUAAAUAUAAGCUGUACAGAAUGGAAAUUUAUGUUACGAGAUUUUCCGCAGCCAAUGUUUUACGUUAAAUCAAUGCGUCUGUUUGGUACUUUAUGCGGUGCUGAGCAAGCAGCGUCCAAGCGGGCUAAGCGCGAUGUUUUCAUUGAAGUUGGCGAGCCCUUUGGCACCGAUGUGGUUCAACGAAGCAUGCCAUCAUUGAAAUUUUACCAUGAUUUCGAUUGUGAAUUGGAGUUUUGCAGCUACGCUUUUGGUCCUUGUUGGGAACCGGUUAUGGCGCAGUGUAACCUUAGUUUUGAAAAGAUUUCGGCACCAUCAAAAGAUCCUAGUCCUCCGCUGCCUUUCUGGGACAAAAUGCGUUUACUUUUUCAUGGUCGGCUAACAAUGAUUGUUAAGCAAUUUACGGUUUUAUUGCAUGCCUCCCUGGAUCCCUACAAUACCACUGAGGAAAUGGAGUUGACAUGGAACAAUGCCGGAAUUGUGUGGACAAAUGCGAAAAUCAUGUUCAAGGGCGAAUUAAAUAUUACAGUACGUACAGCUUCGCGUUACGAUGAUUGUCGUCUAUUGCAUUUUCCCAACUUGAAACUGACAUUUAAGCUGAACUGGGUUUGUCUGGCAAAUCCAAACGACCAUCACGCAGUUAUGCCUUGCGCGCCCGAUAAGUUGCCAGAGUAUUCCAGUAAUCAAGUGCAUGACUCCUUCCGUGCCUUCCGUUCACUUAACUUAAAUAUUUGGAUCUCGUUUGAAACCAAACCAAAACUUGGUGAGGAGGUGGAAAUCGACAUUCCCAGCUUGGUUCUAUACGGCAGCACCCUGCGUUGGUUCGAGAGCCUUAAGUUGAUUCUUUCAGGUGUUACCCGUCCAACGCGACGCGGCCCGGUAUUUAAUAAUGUGCGACCACGCAAGAAGCAGCUCAGUCGGCAUUACAAGAAGGCAAAUCUCCAAAUGAGUUUACAUCGAUUUCAAGUACUUUACUGGAUGUCUCACGCUUUGCAUAAGGGUUUCCAAUUAAAUGGUGGUCGGGUGUCGUUUAGCUCGGAGUAUUGUUUAUCGUUAAGUCCCAUCGACGAUGGACUAAUUCAUAGACCGCGUGCUGAUUGGUCCACAGUCUACAUGAAUUGUGAAUUGAACGACGCUGAGAUUUGGUUGAAAAGCAUACUCACCGAAAAAUUAGAUAGCAGUUCAGAAAAUUUGGCAAGUGUUGCGGAUGCCUUCAAAAUAGUGAGAUUCUACUUCUUAAGUGUGGCGAAAGUUUCGUAUGGUAGAGAGGCGCUUAUUCCAACCGGGAACAGUCAAGAGGAAGAGACAAAAACCAAAAAUACAACACCCACUCAUAAACUGGUCGUUUAUGACCUUAAAGGAGCGUGGACGAAAAAUAAUCGGGAUGUUGCUUUUGCUCUCUUUGAUUCAUUCAUGAAGUCUCAAAAGUUGAAGAACAAUUUGUCGACGGAAGCAGUGAAAAGCUAUCGAAAAGAGACAAAUUCCAAUGUUAUGAAAAACAAACGUAGCGAUAGUACAAUAACUCUAACAAAUAAUCCAACGGAAGUGCUACCAAUAACGAACUCCAAUAGCGCUAUCAAGAAGGUGCAACCUGCUAGCCAUGCAACUGCGAUGUUGCAGCAACUAAUAGCUGAAGCCGAUCAUAAAUUCAACGUGUAUAGCGAUGACCAAAGCACACAGUCGCGAGAAUUACAGUUACAGGGCUUGCAGGCCUGCUCCGCCCAAGAUGUGAUACACGAAAAUUGGUCAAUAUCAUUGGUCAAUUCACAAGUGCUGCUUAAGGGUUGUGAAACGUCUGGUUAUGUGAUUAUUAGUGCUGCUAAAGCCGAGAUUUUACAACGUGUUCAUAGGCCAGUGUGGCGUGACAGAUCACUUGUGUCAAAAACGACUUGGAAGGGACUGCUCGAAUGCAUGCAGUACUAUGCCACAGUUAGCGCUGGUGAAGAUGACUCGCUCAUUGAAAAAGAGAUCAUGUGGCUUACUGUGGAUAACAUUCAGGAUAAAGACGAUACUGUGAUUAAUGAUUUACCAGACAUUCCACACCUUGUGGGUAGUGGCCGAAGUGUGGGUGGAGUUGUCUCUGAGACAGUGGGUGCAUUGUCCAUUGAAAACCCGGGAGAAACUCAGCCUGUACAGCUGCAGCGCAUUGUGUCUCGUUGUAAAUGUGAAUUCUUUUAUGUCAGCUAUGGCGACACUAUAGAUCCAAAUACAAUAACCGAAGUGCCACCGCCCCCAUCAGAGGAAACAUUAUCGCCUUGGGAAAAGCAAGAUGACCCAGUGGACGCUUUUACUUUGAUGCAUCAUGACCUUGACGUCUGCACGAACUCCUUGCAAUAUGCUAUGAUUCUAGAUAUUGUAAAUAAUUUGCUACUUUUCGUGGAGCCACAGCGGAAACAAGCGCUAGAAAAAUUGGCGCGCAUGCGUUUUCAAUUGCAACUUCACUCUACGGAGGAUCAAAAACGGCCUAUUCAGCAAAAACAAACCAUGAUACGUAGUCUGCUAAUGAAAAUCCGAUCGUUGGAGAAGGACAUACAUCUAAUAGGUAAGGAUCGUGCCGAGGAGGGUGAUACGCUGGAGUUGAGACAGGAAUUCGAACGCGUGCAAUUGCAAAUUCGCGAGAGCAAAGAGGAACUGAACACAUUGAGUGAGGAGCUCGAUAUGAUGUUAUUAUGUUAUAAGGAAACUCAGCUCUCUCAGCUUAGCAAAAUAUCGAAUGUACGUUCCGACAAGUCCCUAACUAUUGUACGUGCAAAUGAGAUUUGUUUUAAACGUGCGCAGUGGAGGCUUACAGAAACUGAUGGUCAAAUCGGCAUAUCUGACUUGGUACUCAGUGGCUUUUUAUAUACAAAAAAAUCAAAGAGUGAUGAUUCUGUGGAGCAUUUGCUGGAAUUGGGCAAUAUCCGUAUGAGCAAUUUGAUUCCGCGUGAGAUUUAUCGUGAGGUGCUAAUGCCAACAGAAAUCCAGAAAGAUAUGCCAAUCGAUACACAUAAACGUGUGCUGAGAGUUUUUUGCCGCGAGAAGCCACCAGUGGGCGGUAUUUCUGUCAAGGAGCAUUUUGAAAUUAAUGUAGCGCCCAUCACUAUCGCUAUCACAAAAAAAUUCUACAGCACAAUGUUGAAGUUUUGCUUUCCCGAUCGCGACGCUUCCGAAACAGAAACUGUUGAUGACAUUGAAGAGAAUUCUUCGAGUUCUUCCUCGUCGUCUGCAGCACAAACGAAGUCUUCAAAGAAACCAUCGAAAACGAAAAAGAGUUCCAAAGAUUCCGAAUUCUAUGUGAAAAUUGAAAAAGAUGAUGUAGAGAAAAUGAAGGAGCGUGCCGAGAAGAAUAAAUUAUUUAUUUAUAUAAAAAUACCUGAAGUGCCUGUUCGUGUAAGUUACAAAGGAAACAAGGAGAAAAAUCUUGAGGAUAUUACAGACUUUUCGCUAGUUAUACCAACACUUGAGUACCAUAAUGUUACUUGGACUUGGCUAGACUUGCUGUUAGCCAUGAAAUCAGUAAGCCGGCGGGUGAUAUUAUCGCAAGCAAUUAAACAAAAAUUGCAAAUACACAGACGUCAGCCAGGCACGUCGACUGGCGAACGUUCGUCGCCGCAGGAAGAAGACAAAGCAAAAAUGUUGUUUGGAAAUCGCUUGCUGAGUGAGAAUCGCAGCCAAAGAAGAGGGGUUUUUAAAUUCACCUCGAGUAAUAAGUGAUAGGAAGAGAUUACUAUGCAAUUUUAGUGCUGAAUUUAUACAUAUCCCCAUACAUUGGGGUGCAUUACUCUCCAUAUAAAUAAAAAUCGGUAGUGUUGUUUCAUCGGAAUUAUAAAAUUGAGAUGAACCGAUUUGAAUGUACAUUCAAAAAACCCAUUAUUUGAUUCCGUUGGUAAAAUUUUUCGACAUUUUUAAGCAACCUUUUUGCAACUUUUAAGGUCUUAAACUCUAUGCUAUUAUCUCAGAGGUGUUUCCAAAUUGGAUCUGCUCAUAUAAAUCUUAAUACUUAUCCGAAAGAUUUUGGCGGAAAUCUAAGAAUAUAAUAAAUUUUAUAAUUCCAGUCGAAACGCCGCAACUUAUCCUAAUAUGAUCUAGUUGAUUCCAUCAAUGAUUAUCAAGUGCAGUAAAAUGCAACGCUUUUAUUUAUUGUAGUUUUAAUAAUGUGAAUUGGGGUUUGUUUAACACAGAUACAAUUUAAAUUAAUUAAUUUUACACAACAUUAUUAUGCUAGUACGAACGAGUGUACCAUAUCCUUUAAAGCUACUAUAAUUACUAAUGUAUUAGCACACUUUAUGCAAUAUGUAUUACCCUUUCACAAAAAAAAAACAACUUAAAAACGAAGUAAUAUAAUGCUAUGAAGGCAUGUAAAAUAUACUGACAGACGACAUGUCUAUUUAAUGUUAUCUAAGUAUGUACGCUUUGUGUAAUAUUUAAUUUAACAUUUUAAGAGGCUUUACAGUAAAAUUGCUUUAGAAUUACUAAACUUCAAUAACGUCUAUAUUUUUACAAAUUUCUCCAAGGAUGAAUAUGUUCCAA